GAGGGUGACUAUAAUUGCGGUGGAACUACCUCUUAACCAUUCCGAACAGAGAAGUAAAACCCGAAAAUGCCGAUGGUACUGCAAAGUUGUGGGAGAGUAGGCAGUUGCCCAUU
rnacentral:rRNA from 1 species